GCAACCUCCUCGUCUCCAGCGCUCUCGUCUCUGCUCCACCACCCCGCGCCGCCACAUCCCACACGCCGACGUCGGCCUCGCCGCAGAAAUCCGCCCGCACCACCGCCGACGCAUCCCUCGUCCUGUCGAAGCCGCGAGAAGAGGAGCCCCACCCGGACGACUUCCCCCCGUCCCCCGCGGAUGGUUCUGCUUCCAUUGAGACGCCCAGGCCUGACAGAUCUUGCUCGUCGUCAGCCCAGGGCCGGGUCGGCCGGAGCAGUCGGAGAGGAGUGGCGGAUGUGCGUCCGCUUAGAUGCCGCCGGUCAGAGAAGGUGGGGAUGAGCGGAUUGCAGCGAGGGAGGCGGCUCGGCUCGGACCGUCCAUGGCGCUAGCGCGAUGGCUCGCCUCCUAUUUCGGCAUGGCUAUUGUUUUGGUCCGCGUCGUUUCUGCCUCGACGGACAUUGUCGUCGUAGGUGCCGAUGAGGGACGAGCCGCCAGCGACGGAUCCCGCGAGGCCAACCUCCAGCGCCCCUUCUCCGGCCGGCCUUGAACGACCUUGUCCCGCCGGAGCUAGGUGGGUCGAUGACCCGCUGGAUGGGAGCUGGCAUGUCCAGCCACCACCUCUGGUGCCCCGUCGCGCACCUGCCCGCCGCCAGGGGCCCGAGGGCCAAGUUGCGGGGUUGUGCGGUCGCGCUGGUCAUCCUCCGCUCCAGGAAGCAUCUUGCCGGGGUUGGGGUCAAUCCCGGGCAGGCCUGAGGAGGAGAGCGGGCGGCCUCCGUCAGUCCUCUCCGGUGAGGCCUUUGACAAGAGGGGCCAAGAUCGAUGCUACCAAGUGCCAUUUGCUUCAGUGCAUUUUGUUUGAUGAAUCUGUUCAUGAAGGAAUCUGCAGUCCUAACAAAGAAGAUGGAAAGAGUACUCCUGGAAAGUGAAAAAGAGAAGGAAACAACAAUCUUGCAAAAGAUUAAACAAAGAACAGCUUGCUCACAAAAUUUUCCAUGAGAAGGAAUAACAGUAGGACAUGCAUGUGUUAUUUUCCAAGACUUGUUCGAGAUAAAGACCCAAUGAGUCAUCGGAAACUUCCCCUGUCUCUGCAGCAGCAAAUGAUUGUUCAGAGUGAGAGUUUGUCUGAAAAUUGUUCAGAAUGAGGCUUUAGCAUGCUGCACACGGUGUAGACUAAAGUUCCCUCGGAGCAAGAGAAAAUUUAACAAGGCAAUACAACAAAACGUGGAGCAGCUAAUGGACAUCCAAUCAGCUCUCAAGGCAUUCGAGGAGCGAGGAACAAUGGAUAUAUCGAAUAAAAAAUGUAACCAGCUUUCCCCGGGUGAAGAAUCCUCUACUAAUAACGAG